ACUCCUCAGUGCUAUCGUGUAUUUGCUCUCGCGAGGAUUGUUCUAAGCGCUCAGAUCCAUAUUAUAUAGAGUUUAUUUUUUUGGGCCCGGAGAAAACACAAGCAAACCGCCAACAUGGACGCCAUUAAAAAGAAGAUGCAAGCCAUGAAGCUUGAGAAGGACAAUGCCAUGGACAAGGCCGAUACCUGCGAGAAUCAGGCCAAGGAUGCCAAUCUUCGUGCGGAGAAGGUCAACGAGGAGGUCAAUGAGCUCCAAAAGAAACUUGUCCAAGUUGAAGCCGAUUUGGAAACCGCCAAGCAACAAUUGGACCAAGCCAACAAAGACUUGGAAGAGAAGGAAAAGCAAUUGACUGCCACUGAAGCUGAAGUUGCCGCUCUUAAUCGCAAGGUCCAACAAAUUGAGGAAGAUUUGGAGAAAUCCGAGGAACGCUCCAACAGUGCCACGCAAAAGUUGUUGGAAGCCACCACAAUGGCUGAUGAGAACAACCGUAUGUGCAAGGUAUUGGAAAACCGUGCUCAACAAGAUGAAGAGCGCAUGGACCAACUUUCCAACCAAUUGAAGGAAGCUCGUCUCCUCGCUGAGGAUGCUGACGGUAAAUCCGAUGAAGUAUCACGCAAGCUCGCCUUCGUUGAAGACGAAUUAGAAGUCGCUGAGGACCGUGUCAAGUCUGGCGAAGCCAAGAUCAUGGAACUUGAAGAAGAAUUGAAGGUCGUAGGAAACUCCCUUAAAUCUCUUGAAGUCUCCGAAGAGAAGGCCAACCAAAGAGUCGAAGAAUUCAAGCGUCAAUUGAAGACUCUCACUGGCAAAUUGAAGGAGGCCGAAGCCCGUGCCGAACAAGCCGAGAAAUCUGUCAAGAAGCUCCAAAAGGAAGUCGACAGACUAGAAGACAAAUUGUUACAUGAAAAAGAAAAGUACAAGGCGAUUUGCGACGAUUUGGAUGCCACAUUUGCUGAACUCACAGGAUAUUAAUUCGAAUUCGAACAAAAACUUUAUAAGAAAAAAAAAAUAUACAGACAGAAACACAGAAAGAUUUCAAAAGAAACAAAUUUCACUUCAGUUCUCUCUCUUUAUCUCUCAUUUUUUUAUCCUUUUUUUACUAUCAUUUUAAUUAUUUCGUUUGAUUAUUAUAUUUUAUUAUUAGAUUUUUGUUAUUUUUUUACACACACCUUCCAAAAAAUUCAAAAAUUUAAUUUUGAAUCAAAAAAAAAUUUCCAAAUUAAUUUUUUUAGUCACUUUUUUUGUUUAUGAAUGAAAAAUUUGCUUCGUUCAAAAAAAUUUUUUAGACAUAGAAGUGUUUUUUUUAUCCCAUAAAUUUUCUUAUGAUUUUUAUCGUCGAUGAAACGCUGCUGUGAUUUCAAUUUUCUUUGAAUUUUGGAUAAACUUCGUUGCAAAAGCCUUAUGGGAAAGAACUUUUUGGGGAUGAUACAAAAAAAAAUUAAAAUAAAGCUUGACUAAUUCUCUCUACUUUUUGCUUGGCUUCUAAAUUUUUUGAAAUUAUUUUAAUAAAAAUACUGCCACACAUAACAUUAUAACACAAAAUAAAAACACUGCUUGAUAAUAUUUAAAAAAAAAAAAAAAUAAAUAAACAAUAUUGUAACAGAAUUUAAUAGAACAAAAAAAAAUUAAUAAAUUAAAUAAAAUAAAAUAUUGCGCGCACUAAUUUUCAACUAAAGUCUUCUGAAUUGGCAACCAUGGACGAGACAUGAGCGCUUUAUAACAUUUAACAUCGUACAUUUAAAAGACGAAUUGGGCAUCAACAAGGACAGAUACAAGUCUCUUGCCGACGAGAUGGAUUCAACAUUCGCAGAAUUGGCUGGCUAUUAAAUAUCCAUUUGUACUUUAUAUAUAUAUUAUAUACCUUUAAUGUGUGUAUAAAGCAAUCAUUUUGUGCAAUCAAUUAAAGAUAUAAAAAAACGAACAUCAACAUA